GGGGUCUCUAAGUUUGACCAUACAGGAGGUUUCCAGUGUCUACAAGACUGCUGUACUGCUGGAAUUCAGCAAAUGUCUACUGCAUGAAUGUAUUGCCUGCAAAACUGGGUUCUGAAGAAUGGGUAGGAGCUGUUAAGUGAGGGAGGGGAGGGUAUUCUGGGGAAAGGGAAGAACCCAAUGGUGAGGGCCCAAAAUACGAUUUUUCAGUUUAGAAGGAUGAUUCCGCAGAGGGGAGAAUAGAUUUCAAGAGGGUGGGGGCAGAAAGACCUGUGGUCGGGUGAGAAAAAACCUGGAGGAGGGCAUGGAUUUGGGAGGCAGGCAAGAAGAGAAGGAGGAGGGGGAAGUCAAGGAUGAUUUUUCGUUUUCCAGUUCAGGUUUACCCUGUAGGCCACUGGCAAUUCCUUUUGCGGUUCCUUUUGUUUUCAACCAGAUAACCCCGGGAGCCCAGGUCUUCCCACCCCUCAGGCUGUAAAGAAUAUUCUCCCCAGCCUUUGUUCUUAAUGGUGAAGUCCAAGGCUCUUAAGGUGAGGAGGAAGCACUGGCCUAGCGUGGGGAAAGCUUCGUUAGUGUCUCCACCGUCCGCGUCCCGGCUUCGGUGUCGCUCGGAACCUCGCGAAAGAGCCAGACACACGCCUCCCAAGCCAGACCACGUGUCGCAGCCCAACUCCGAACGCCCCGCUCCUGUAUCCGCCGCCUCCGAUUGGCCGCCUGGAGGCGGAGCGAUUGUCAGGCGGCCCAAUCGGAGCUCCGUUUCCCACGGGUUCCCGUGGCCCCGCCCACAAGGCCGCCGGCAGAGGCGCCCUGACAGCUCCCAUUGGCAGACGGCGAGCGGGCCGGAGUGCGGCCGGGCCGAGCAGCGCCGCCGCCGUCGGGCGCGCAGCUCUGCAGCGCCGCGAACGCCUCGGCGCCCGCAGCCCCAGGAGCCCGGCGUCCCCGCAUUGUCCCCGGCGGCGUCGCGGAGAUCCGGGACGAGCGUCGCGGAUGGCUGUGUUCCAGAUAUUAACAUUAUCAGAAGCCUGACCUGCACAUGGUGAGCAGUUUAACUCGCCUACAUGCUUUGAAGGACUUUCGAGGUGCAUCAAGGUUCUAGGUGCUGAGGCCAUACCUCCUGCCCUCACCGAGCUUACCUUCUAGCGUGCGUGAAGUCUGAAGUCACAGACGAGCAUGUCCGAUGGUGAUGGACAAGAGCAAGGAAGUGUGCUAGAGCAUCCUGGAGGUGGGGUUGGGGGAUAGGGCUGUAAUUUUCAUAGGAUGAUCAGGGAGGAUCUUCCCAUGAAAGACAGGAUGAUUGAGCAAAGACAGGAAAGAGGUGAGGGAGGACGCCAGGUGCCUUUCUGGGAGAGAAGGUUCCAGGCCGAGGCAAGAGAAGUGCGGAAGCCCCGAGUUGCAGCUGUGUCCCGUUGUGAGAGGAACACUGGCGUGUGAGAGGAACAGGAGGAGGCCGUUGCAGCUGUGACAGCGUGAAUGAGCAGGAGAGGACUGAGGGGGCGAUUGGGAGAUACUCGACAACGGGGGGCUGUGUGGGUUAGGCUCCGGAUUGCACAGGGCCUCGCAGGCCAUUGGAAGGUCUUCGGGGACCAUGGAUGGACUUGAUUUCACUCACUUUAUACCAUGAGAAUAGACUGUUUGGGGGGCCAGGAUCAGGGCAGAAUCAGCAAGAUGAAUUAGCAGGUGGCCGUGACCAGCAUACGGGUGAUGGAGCUGGUGAAAUACAGCCAAAUUCUGGAUACAUUUUGAAGGCAGAGCUGACGGGAUUUGCUGAUGGAUGGGGUGUGAGGUGUGAGGGAGGAGGGAGGUGUCCAGGAGGGACAAGAGGCACAUGUACUUGGGGGACGAGCGGUGGUGUCGGUGGACCUUGGCUGCUCCAGGCAACCUGGGCCCUUCUUGGCCGUGCGGCAGGAGUUCCAGGCCAGCAGCGGGAAGGAAGGCUUGCCUAUGGAGUUCCCCAUUCUUGAAGAGUUUAUGAGUGGCUGGAUGGGUCAUUCCAUGGUGGCCAAGUCACCUCUUUUAAUUCAGUGGCCACCACCUGUACCCUUGGCCCUGGCCUCGUGCCAGCCACAAAAGCGGCCAGGGUUUGAGGAGGUCACAACUGAACCUCUAACAGAUGCCCAGUUCAGAGGACAAGCCCCGUGAUAGAGGAGAAUCUGCUUCUGUGAGGGAGAACCCCUUGGAUCCGGAGAACAAAGAUUGUUGAGGACCGAUUCCUACCGCGUGCGUCUAGACUUGGUUUUGGUCUCGGAAAAAUACUUCUGGGUGUGAUGGGAAGAACCCUCUUGGGCUCAGCGUGUUGGUGGGUAGUUUCGGAUCACCCACACAUCUUUGCUCGUUCCUCCCGCUUUUCUUUUUUUUUUUUUAAUUUUUUUUAACGUUAUUUAUUUUUGAGACAGAGAGAGACAGAGCAUGAACGGGGGAGGGUCAGAGAGAGAGGGAGACACAGAAUCGGAAGCAGGCUCCAGGCUCUGAGCCGUCAGCACAGAGCCUGACGUGGGGCUCGAACUCAUGGACGGUGAUAUCAUGACCUGAGCUGAAGUCGGACACCCAACCAACUGAGCCACCCAGGCGCCCCUCCUCCCGCUUUUCUACAGGGGUGUCUGAAGCGUACUAUCCCACCCGUCAUUGCCAGGACGCUGAGCACUGGGCCAAGGGGAGGCAAAUCCUCACCCCCAGGCCUGGUUUCUUGUUUGUUUGUUUAAAUUAAGUUUUAAAUUUUAAUUCCAGUAUCCUUAACAUACAUUGUUAUAUUAGUUUCAAGUGUACAGUAUAAUGAUUCAACACUUCCAUAAGCUACCCAGUGCUCAUCACGACAAGGGCACUCCUCACUCCCCGUGACGGGGAGUAUUUCACCCCCCACACCCCCACCUCCCCUCUGGUGAUCAUCUGUUUGUUCCCUGCAGUUAAGAGUCUGUUUCUUGCUGUGUCUGUCUGUCUCUCUUUUUGUUUUUGUUUUCCUUUGCUCGUUUGUUUUGGUUCUUAAAUUACACACGAGUGAAAUCAUAUGGUAUUUGUCCUCCUGUGACUUAUUCUGCUUAGCAUUGUACUUUCGAGCUCCCUCCAUGUUGUUGUAAAUGGCAAGAUUUCAUUCUUUUUGAUGGGUGCAUAAUAUUCCAUCACAUACACCUUGUCUUCUUUAUCCAUUCAGGCAGAGUCGAGUAACUGCCUGGACAAAACCUGAAAUAGUUACUCUUUGAUUCUUUACAGAAAGAAAGUUUGCUGACCCACGGGCUAGAAAAUAAGAGGAUGAAAAAGGCUAUUGGGGGAUGGAGCAUACAGAAAUGUUCCUUGUCAGUCACUUGAACGCCGCUCAGCCUUAGUGUGUGUGAAUGUGAAAUUCCAUACCUCACAAAUUGUGGCUUAACGUUGUUAAGAUUUUACUUUUUUUUUUUUUUGUUCGUUCUUCUACAGGUUAGAGGACGUUAUUUUUAUACUUAAUAGGAAAUACAAUUCAGCACGGGUAGGUUCACAUUUAAUAUUGGUGUCAUUUUACUGGGCAGAUGGUUGUAUAUAUUAGUAUUCAGUUAGUAUUAGUAUGGAAUAUUAGUGUUGAACCUUCUGUAAUCCCAAAGUUUAGCAUUUAAGUCUUGAUUUGCCAUUUGGUCCUCCUUGGAUAGUAGAAAGUUUCUCUCCCAUAUGAGUGUAUUAAUAUUGUGUGGUUUGUUUUGUCUUUGUGUGAUCAAGAAUUCUCCAUCCCCGAGGCACCUGGGUGGCUCAGUCGGUUAAGCAUCCAACUUCGGCUCAGGUUAUGAUCUCGCGAUUCGUGAGUUCGAGGCCUGUGUCGGACUCUGUGCUGAUGGCUCAGAGCGUGGAGCCUGUUUCGGAUUCUGUGUCUCCCUCUCUCUGCUCCUACCCCACUCACACUCUGUCAAUCUCUCUCUCAAAAAUAAACAUUAAAAAAAAAAAAGAAUUCUCCAUCCUUUUAGUAAAUGCAAGGGUUUUCAAAAUAAGUAGACUUGCAUUUUCUCCCCCCUAAAUGGGACUUAGAUAGUUUUAUCUAAGUUGUUCCUUUUGUCUUUUAGCUAUAUUGUGUGCUAUGUUAUUCUGGAAGGCUAUGGAAUUCUUCAUGUAAGAAAAAAAAUAAAAGAAUGAAAUAGAUUUAAAAUAUAAAGGACUUUUCUUUCUUAAUUGCAUCUUAAUGUAAUAAAAGCCAGAGAGUAAUUAUUAAAAAUGAUAGAAGAAAAGAAUUAAAACAAUAAAAUUGCUUAGCAAAGAUCCUGUUUCAUAAUGCAGUCGGAUAUAAUUGGUAUCAUAAUGUGUAAUUAACAAUCUUUCUUUGAAGUAUGAGGCGUGCAUUUGGGCAGGCAGGGGACCUCUUAGGAGCGGUGAUGUCUGAAUUAGUUCUUACCGUAGUGCUUCUGAAUCUGUGUACAGAUUGUAGCAUCUUGCUUCCUGCCUUGUUAGUUGCUUUUUGUUGGUAGAGAGAGAUCAUAAACUAAGGGCUAGGAGAGAUGGUUCCCCAGAGCUUGACCAGCCACCCAGCCACCGCUGCCCCCAGGAUUGAUUAGGGACAGGAGAAGACAAACUCCUGGAUACCCGCUGUGGUUUUAGCUCACACCUCAGGGCAGUUCCCUGGCGUAGACCAGAUGGGGGACCCUUCUUGCCCUGGUAUCAGGUUGGCCUGGGGCGUGUGCUUUAAACGAGCUGAGAAGCCUCCUUGACCUCAUUUUCUAGACCCACCCCCAUUCUGGCCCCAUGGAUCUUACUGCAGAUACCGCCAGGAAAGAUGAGUCCAAGGAAAAGUACCACCAGGAAACAGAGGGGGAAGGUAAUGGAUUCACAGGCUCGGAGCCUGAGUCUCACUUUCUCUACUGCCCACCUUGGCUCCAUCUGACUCCUUGAAGACUGGGACACCAGAACACUCAAGAACGCAAAUAAAAGCACUGGCAGAGACUAUUCCAGGCAGAUCUGAACUUCUGUUCACUACUUCUUUGGUUCUAGAGUUCCGUGCCCACGAGGCACCACGUAUAGGCUUCUGCGGGAGGCGUGGUGGUGGGUGCUCUUCAUCGCCCCCUGGUGGGAGAAGUUGGCUCUGUGCGACUGUAGAGGGGGAAACGGCCACUCCAGAGCUUAGCUUUUGAAAGAAAUCAUGUGAUG